rnacentral:rRNA from 1 species
UACGAAGGGGGCUAGCGUUGUUCGGAAUCACUGGGCGUAAAGCGCACGUAGGCGGAUUCGUAAGUCAGGGGUGAAAUCCCGGGGCUCAACCUCGGAACUGCCUUUGAUACUGCGGGUCUUGAGUCCGAUAGAGGUGGGUGGAAUUCCUAGUGUAGAGGUGAAAUUCGUAGAUAUUAGGAAGAACACCGGUGGCGAAGGCGGCCCACUGGAUCGGUACUGACGCUGAGGUGCGAAAGCGUGGGGAGCGAACAGG